rnacentral:rRNA from 1 species
GAUGAACGCUGGCGGCGUGCCUAAUACAUGCAAGUCGAGCGAACGGACGAGAAGCUUGCUUCUCUGAUGUUAGCGGCGGACGGGUGAGUAACACGUGGAUAACCUCCCUAUAAGACUGGGAUCACUUCGGGAAACCGUAGCUAAUACCGGAUAAUAUUUUGAACCGCAUGGUUCAAAAGUGAAAGACGGUCUUGCUGUCACUUAUAGAUGGAUCCGCGCUGCAUUAGCUAGUUGGUAAGGUAACGGCUUACCAAGGCAACGAUGCAUAGCCGACCUGAGAGGGUGAUCGGCCACACUGGAACUGAGACGCGGUCCAGACUCCUACGGGAGGCAGCAGUAGGGAAUCUUCCGCAAUGGGCGAGAGCCUGACGGAGCAACGCCGCGUGAGUGAUGAAGGUCUUCGGAUCGUAAAACUCUGUUAUUAGGUAAGAACAUAUGUGGAAGUAACUGUGCACAUCUUGACGGUACCUAAUCAGAAAGCCACGGCUAACUACGUG